rnacentral:rRNA from 1 species
AACGAACGCUGGCGGCGUGUCUUAAGCAUGCAAGUCGAGCGGCAAGGGUAGCAAUACCCCUAGAGCGGCGGACUGGUGAGUAACACGUGGGUGAUCUACCUCGGGGAUGGGGAUAGCCAUUAGAAAUAGUGGGUAAUACCGAAUACGUUGCCAAGCUUACGAGCUUGGUAAGAAAGGCGCUACGGCGCCACCCUGAGAUGAGCCCGCGCCCCAUUAGCUAGUUGGUGAGGUAACGGCCCACCAAGGCUAUGAUGGGUAGGCGGCCUGAGAGGGUGUACGCCCACACUGGGACUGAGAUACGGCCCAGACUCCUACGGGAGGCAGCAGCUAAGAAUAUUCCGCAAUGGACGAAAGUCUGACGGAGCGACGCCGCGUGGAUGAUGAAGGCCGGAAGGUUGUAAAAUCCUUUUGUCGGGGAAGAAUAACCA